UACGGGGGGAGCAAGCGUUGUUCGGAUUUACUGGGCGUAAAGGGCGCGUAGGCGGCCGCCUAAGUCAGACGUGAAAUCCCUCGGCUCAACCGGGGAACUGCGUCUGAUACUGGGUGGCUUGAAUCCGGGAGAGGGAUGCGGAAUUCCAGGUGUAGCGGUGAAAUGCGUAGAUAUCUGGAGGAACACCGGUGGCGAAGGCGGCAUCCUGGACCGGCAUUGACGCUGAGGCGCGAAAGCCAGGGGAGCAAACGGG
rnacentral:rRNA from 1 species